rnacentral:lncRNA from 1 species
GGCCCUAGUGGCAAAGAUGCACUGUACAGGAUCAACCAGACCCGGAUUUACUGUAUGGUUUCCGCCUUUGCAGGUGCUGGGGAAAAGGUUGGUCAACUGUCCUGUGGAGCAGGGUAGGAGCAACGUGGGGAGGGGGACAGCGGCCGCGCAAAGCGCCCAGGGCCACUGGGCUCGGCCAAACGCUCUCUUCCGCGCGUGCGGACGCGCCGGGUCUGACUCACCUGGAUGUUGAAGUCGGCCGGGUAGAGGCUGCGGGCCGUGAUCAGCCAUGCCUUGGCUGCCCACAGGUCCUGGGGCACUAGUUCCCGGGCUCGCUGCACCAGAAACUCACAGUCGCCCUGGGCCGACAUGGUCCCGGGUUUUUGCCCUUCCAGUAGGCGACACUAGGGCGCCGCCAACCCCCAGGUGGCCACUGCGCAUGCCCAGAGACCAGCCAACCACAGGCCGCAGAGGUUCUGUAGAGUCCUAUGGAAACUACGGAGACCUGGAUUUUCAUUACUCGGAUUGCCAUCCGUCGAUGGUAGCGCGCCGCUGACCGCCUGGGAGUAAGCGUCAGAGUCGGCAACCCUGUGCUCCAGGUUCUUGCGUUCUCCUUUGAUUCCAGCCCGGGUUUGAAGGUCCGCGACACGCUCAGACACGGAGCGGCGGUCCUUCGGUGUAAAUAAACCUGGUGCCCAGGGUUAAGGUGUAGUUUCGAAGUGUCGCGGAGGGCUGGGCCUGGACUGUGCAAGACGACCCCACCCUCGCAUGCGGAAAGACCCUGGAUCGCCUGUUGCUUUUGAGCUUUGCCAACAUCUUUGCCCCUGCCCCAGGCAUUAUUUCGCCUGAAUCUUAUUCUUUUUCUCCUAUACGGAAAAAUUAGCAUUUAGAAGAUGCUCGGCUGGAUGUCCGAACCACCUGCUCUGCAAGAGUUAAAAAAAAAAACAAAAGGCAAGCUUUGGACUUUUAAGCAGUCUUGAGACUGUGAUAGAGUAUGAGGACAUUUGAAAUUGGCUACCGUCAGAUAUGGCCAGGAAUGUAAUGUGGUGUUUUUAAUGAGAAUGGCCCCCAUAGGCUCAUAGAUUUGAAUCUUUGAUCACCAGGGGGUGGUGCUAUUUGAAAGGAUUAGGAGAUAUGGCUUUGUUGGAGAAAGUAUAUCACUGGGAGUGGGCUUUGAGGUUUCAAAGAAGGCCAAAGAGCUCUCUCUUCCUGAAACCUGUGGAUCAGAUGUAGAGUUCUCAGCUCUUGUCUAGCACCAUGACUGCCUCCAUGCUUCCCACCAUGAAGUCAAUAGACUAUACCUCAGAAACUGUAAGUCAGCCCCAAUUAAAUUCAUAUUUGGACAAU